AUCAAAGGAUGGACAAGUGGUGUAUAACAUAAAUUUCCCUAAGUAUAAGUUGGGUGAGGAAGUAGUGCGGGAAGUGUCUGUGAAGCCAUCUUAUGAAUAUGUUGAACAAGUAAAGAAUGUUCUUUUCAUGUCUAAUAAACAAGAACUUUCAAC